UGGGCCUCGGAUCAAUCUGUGAUCUGGAG
rnacentral:piRNA from 1 species